rnacentral:lncRNA from 1 species
CGGCGGGCGGGGAAGCAGGAAGUAAGGUGUCCAGCGCGCGGGUUCUCCGCCGCCGCGCCCCCGCCGCCGCCCUGUCCCCGGGGCGCCGCGCUCCGGCAGGCGCGGGCGCCGGGUGCAUUGUUCGCAGCCUUCCCCUGGCCGGUGCUCGGCCCACUUUUUUUUUUCUUUUUUUUUUUUUACGCGCUCUGCGUUGUGUAUGCGUGAGCUUGCACCUUUUGUAAGCUGGCGAGUCUCUGGACGCAAGACGAGGGGACCACGAGCCGAGGACCUGUCAGUCCCCGAGUGCAGCAGAGUCUCAGAUCCGGGGAGGGGGUGGGGGAAUCGAGGCCCCCGUGGGGUGGGAGGGGUGAGAGAGCAGCUUGGUGGCCGCGAAGCUGCCGCCUUCCCACCCCGGACCGCUUGCAGGAUUGCUUCCUGCGUCUCUCGUCUCGGUUAUUGUAAAAGUGUGGACCGUUGUGCCGCCCCCUUUCUCCCCAAAUCUGGCGCGAGAUAAGCCACUGUCCCCAUCCACUCCACCCCGGGCUCCGGGUGUGGACGGCGGGAGAAAGACUAUAUGGGAGCUUAAAGCAUGAGGUCAUGGGUUGAAGAGGCUGCUGCCAAAAGCUGCGGAGGUGAACAUGGAGGUCAAAGGACAACUCGUCAGCAAUUGGUUCUCAUCUUCCACCAAGUGGGGUCCAGGGAUGGAACUCAGGUCAUCAGGCUUGGCCCAAUUCAUUGACAUGGUACCAGAUUUAAAUCAACAGCAAGAAGCCUCCUCUCCAAGCUCUACCCCGUCCACUCCAUUUUCCUGAAGCAGAAGCAAGCAGAUUCACAGGGGGAAGAUAUGGCCAACUGCUUUCCAGUGGAGGCCAUGAGAGACUCUUGAGACAUCCAUUUAAAUCUUUAUGUACAGAUCUCUUUUGCCUGCCCUGGCGGGGCCACCUUCUUACUCCCUCCCACCAUUACCCUUUUCACUCCCUUAACCUCAAACAGACUCUGUUGACAACGGUUACCUGAGAUACUGACAAAUGAAAAUGACUGAC